CUCGUAGGCGGUUUGACAAGUCGGUCGUGAAAACCCGGGGCUCAACCCCGGGACGCCGGUCGAAACUGUCAUGACUAGGGUCCGGUAGAGGUGAGUGGAAUUCUCGGUGUAGCGGUGAAAUGCGCAGAUAUCGAGAGGAACACCAGUAGCGAAGGCGGCUCACUGGGCCGGUACCGACGCUGAGGAGCGAAAGCGUGGGGAGCAAACA
rnacentral:rRNA from 1 species